CUGAUGCCUCGGGAUUAUCUGCCUCUUAAGCUACUGCAUAAAGAAAAGAAUUGACAGCUUUUCUGGGUACUACGUGUUUGCCACAGCCUGCCAUUUCCUGUGGCAAGUCUUUGCGCUUCAGGGAAGGACUCUAGCAACUGCAGCACAUGUGGACGUGGAGCACUGUCAGAUGCGUUGGACUGAACAGCAAGAAGAUGGCCAUCCAUACAUUUAGUGUGGAAGCUUUGGCUUAUGGUUAGUCAGAUCUCUUAAUAUUGCUUUACCACAUUUUUUGAGCUUCAUAUUUAAUUCAGGUCAAAUCUGAACUACUAAACAGAACUGUUAUGUAGUGCGCAUACCAGAUAAAUGAAGUGCAGUUUUAGCAUAGCUCUGACCUAGUUACUUCCUACAAUGUUGUCUAAAAGCAGAAAUUGAAAUCUCUUAGCUAAACAAAAAAUGAGUCUUUUUUCUCCUGCUUAUUGCGGCACUUUGCAUGUAUUUGGUUUCAAAGACUGAUAAAGCUUACAGUUCUGAAUCUUUCAUGGGUAUCAUAAAGGCUUCUCUUUUCUAGUAUCCCAACCCAACAGUGUAUUGGAGUAAUGAACAUCUAGCAUCUGAGAUAUACAGAGCAAUCUUGACAAAUCUGAUGGCUGAAAGAUGCGACUAGAUUUGAGCCUUCCUAACCCCAGGGGAUCACUGGAGAAGAUAACUAUGAUGCACACAUCAUAGGCUGGGAAAUAUGCUGCAACUCCUGAUGACUUACUUGGAGAGGCAAAACAACUAUUUUUGUACUAUUUCCAUUAAGUGUCUAAUAAAUGCUGUAAUUUUUUAUACUGCAUAUUAAAGUUGUUUAAGUAUGAGAUGAGCACCAAAAAAAUCAAAAUUAGAUGAAUACAAGUGACUCUGUAAAUAUUUGAAGCUUAAUUAGCUGGUAAUAUUUUAACAAAAUAUAUAGAAAAAAACAGCUUGUUUAUUCAGUUCAGCAUUAAGAGCUAUGCUGUAAUUUGUUACUUGAUGAUGUGGUACUGCAUGCGUCUGAUUUUAUAAUCUGUUGACUCAAAUCACAGACUGUCAAGCACAUUUCAAGAUUAUCCAUGUUUGCAUGUCAGAUUAUAUUUUUUAGGGAACACAGCUUCUACUUAUUCUUAACUCUGCUGAUGACUUUCUCAGAUUUCUGCCAUAUGCUACACGUCAUAGGUUCUCAUGUUGAACUCAGCAUUGCAGCCAGCUUUAUGCAGAUCAUAACUACCUCAAUAUAAAGUAGAAGUGGAGAAGGGAAGUAAUAAGAACCAGAAAGCACAAAUCAGUGUUCAGUGUCACUGCGGUCUCCUAUCUUCUGGGCAUUUUUAGUAGGUAAGUGAUGAGGUUAUCAACCGCAAAAUUCAAUCUGAAGCCAGCUGACAUUUCAUAUGAGUCAGAGCCAGAGCUGGCAGCACAG